CCUGUGCUACAACCGCUCGAAUCAGGUUAUGUAAGAAUCCGCAGCAAUGCAGAUCACCUGAAUAGGCGAGUCUUAGUCUAAGA
rfam:Planomicrobium glaciei strain CGMCC 1.6846 genome assembly, contig: Ga0070170_113